rnacentral:rRNA from 1 species
GUUAGGAAUAUUGGACAAUGGGCGCAAGCCUGAUCCAGCCAUGCCGCGUGAACGAUGAAGGCCUUCGGGUUGUAAAGUUCUUUAGCCGAUGAUUAUAAUGACUGUAGUCGGAAAAUAAGCCCCGGCUAACUUCGUGCCAGCAGCCGCGGUAAUACGAAGGGGGCGAGCGUUAUUCGGAAUCACUGGGCGUAAAGCGUGCGUAGGUGGUCUCGUAAGUUAGGAGUGAAAGCCCAGGGCUCAACCUUGGAAUUGCUCUUAAUACUGCAAGGCUAGAAUCUCGGAGAGGAUAGCGGAAUUUCCAGUGUAGCAGUGAAAUGCGUAGAUAUUGGAAGGAACACCAGUGGCGUAAGCGGCUAUCUGGACGAGUAUUGACGCUGAGGCACGAAAGCGUGGGGAUCAAACAGGAUUAGAUACCCUAGUAGUCC